UACUGUUAACGGUGGAUCACUUGGCUCGUACGUCGAUGAAAAACGAGGCGAGACUCGAAAGUUUAUGUGAAUUGCAGCCACGUUGAACAUAGAAAUUUUGAACGCACAUUGCGGUGUUGAGUUGACUCGACGCCGCGUCUGUCUGAGGGUCG
rnacentral:rRNA from 1 species